rnacentral:lncRNA from 1 species
GAGGAUUGACGUGGAGGAAGGGGAGGAGACUCAAUCCAGAAACGAGGAAUGAUCUGGAAGAAUGAAGCUGAAGAUGAACCGCAGGCUGGGAUGCAAUCCGUGGGAUAAGGAUGCUUUGGAUAUAGCUGGGAGUGGUUCCGAAAUAGGGGAAAAUGUGUGACCUUAUCCGUGGAGAAGCUGGGAUCCAGCAGGAGAAAUGAAGGAGUGUGGGACGCUGGGAUCUAAUGCGGAUGGCUGACC